AUACUUAUCGGGCAGGGGAGAUACCAUGAUCACGAAGGUGGUUUUCCCAGGGCAAGGCUCCUCCAUUGCAGUACCUUCUGAAUAUAUAACCAAUAUCAAAUAUUAAUGAAAUACAGUGCAUUUUGAGAAUUAAAUCUUUGAAUUCUAG
ensembl:snRNA U1 U1 spliceosomal RNA